UGAAAAAUUGAACAUAAACAAAUUCGAGCUGAUGGCCGCAACGUCCCACGUCGCAAUCAUUGAAAGUUUUUAAAUUUUUCCUAUAUUUAUUUUAUUUAUCCUUUAUGGUGUCAAAGUCGAUAACCAUUUUAGUUUCGGAAGCAGUGAGUUCCGAUGUUCCGAUCAGCAGCACCACAUCCACCUCGCAGGCGCCGAUCGACGAUUAUACAGCAGAUAGCAGGAAUGGAAACUGAUUCCUGAACCAUCGGUAGAGAACUUCUGCUUACAGCUGCGAGUCGCUGAACGGCCCAAUAUGCCCAUAAAAGGAAACCGGUUGAAAUCUAUCAAUCCUCCAGCAAGCGUUUCGGUUUGGAUAUCGGGAGUUCUCGGCAUGCCCCGAGAUAUUCAGAAGGUUGCAGAUCCCAUUCGACCCGUCCCAAAUUGAAUGUCUCACGAACUAUAAUACGAAGGACCUCUACUGUGCGAGUGAAAAUAACGACAACACCCAACUCAUCAACGGAUCUAAAGGCCGGCAGGUGUUAAAAGCUCAAAUUGGAUUUAUCAAAUGUACAAUAAAGGUGGAAAAGUCCAGGAAAAGGAAGACGGAACGUGAGCGCGGGAGGUGAUGCUGAUUCAUUUUUGUAAUUGUAACAAAUUUGUUUUAAUGCUAUCCAAUGCUGCUAUGCUACUCAAAUAAUUUCCGGAUCGCAGAUAGUCAACUUGGUAGAUUGUUUUACUAUCAGUGGCAACCGUUUAAUUGAUUGGUACACCAACAUAUCUGUUCAUCCGGCACAGUUACCACCUGGAAAGCUGCUUACUGAAUGCCAUGCCGCCAAAGCUCCUCAUCAGUAUAGUUGUUGCUUUUAUUGCCAGCUUAUUUGUUCUCCGCUGCUUUUCCUGCGAUCGACUCUUCUCCACUAUAUACGAAGCUUCUGCUGAAGGAUGUUCCGAGCCAUCCGGGAUUACUGCUUUCAGGAAGAUGAAGAUGUGGAUCAAACUGUUUUAUGAAAAUGUAAAUUUAAACACAUAGAUAAAUAAAAUAUUUUUCUUUAUAUGUAAUAUGACAAAUAAAAUAUUUUGCAUUAUA